rnacentral:lncRNA from 1 species
AAUAUAUUUGAAUAUUUUAUAUAAUUAUAAUGUAUUCUUGUAUUAGCGUGAUGACUUUCGUAUUUUUAGUUUCUAAAGUAUUUUUUUUCUUGUAGGUUGCUGAUACUUUAUCUACUCGUAGAGAUGAUGCCGUCGACUCUUGAUACAUCGUAGAUUGUGUACUUAGAAAUUUGAGAUGGAUGUUUUUAGAAUGUUUUUGAAGUACAAUGUAAUCAAAUGUGAUAAUAUUGAGAUUUUGAAUGAAAAGUUCUUGUCUGUGUUGUGUAUUUUGUUAUCUAUGUGAUUUAGUGUAUGUGUUUUGUUAGAAAUUAAUGUAUACAGAGAAUUAAAAAUUGCAUUUACAAAUUUUUUUUUAAAAAAAAUGCCAUUGCCGACGCUAUUUAGCGUCGGAAAUACGAACUGACACGGAAUGUGAACGCCAUUAACAACGCUUUAUUGCGUCGGUAAAGUAGAUUAGGCCGACGCUUUUAAGCGUCGGCAUAGCCCAAUGAAAACUACGGUGUGAAGCGUCGAUUGAGGUACGCCGACGCUUUUAAGCGUCGGAGUCUUAUAAAAGGAACGACGCUUAAUAGCGUCGGAAUAGACCGACGACGCUUUUUUGACGCGUCGGGUUAAACCCGACCCACGCCGACCUGCCCGACGUCUGACCCACGCUUUGUGAAGCGUGGGCUGGGAAUUCGCCGACACUUAUAAGCGUCGGUAGAGACAAAAAAAACCGCCGGGAGUUAUUCCUUCUUUUGUAGUGAAAGUAGUAUAUUUCAGAGUGGUUUAUGUUUGGUUGAGUAUCUAUUUUUCUAAAAAAAUUAUGUAAAAUAUAUGUUAUACUCUUAAUAAGGAAAAGACCUUAUCUCAUUGUAUCUAGCAGCUUAAAGGUAUUUUUGGGGAAAAAAAAAUAUUUAACCCAAUUUCCAGUCGAUGGGAAUUGGACUUUUCCUAUAUCCCAUAUAGGUCUUUCUUUUCUGUGCGAAGGCUACUUUUCCAUCUUUCUUCUUUGAAAAUUCCGACCAAACAUACAACAUUUCUUUAUUUUUUUGUUAACCAUACUUUCCCCUCUUUAUCUUCCCAUGAACCAAAUGAGUCUUGAUACUAUAAUCCAAACUUGAUUUCCGGGGGCCAACAACUGGAGGCUCGAAAACUACAUGCCUAGAAAUCUGAACAAACUUGAGGGGGAGCUCUAAAUAGUCCAUGUAAAUUUACCAUAGGACCUCAUAAAGCUUAAGCCAUUAGGGAAGGAUCAACACUAUAUAUCACACCUUCACAAUCAAGGGUAAUAAUUGGUGGAUAUCUUCAUGGAGGAAUAUGGGUGAUGGAGUUGACAACAGCAGGAGGCUCAUAUGGAGCCUCAUAUGGUGGCAGCAGCAGGCAUAGUAACAAGGAAUAGAGAUGGAGCAACAAGGAGUAGAGAUACGUAAUAUCCAGUGGCUUUGAAUCAAAGGUAACCAAAAUAUUCCAGAGAGCCUCCAGCACUAUGGGAGAUGGAGUUCACAGUAAGCACCAAAUUGAACAGUUCUGUUCUUUGAUAUUAAUAGUUUUCCACUCUGUUCCUACUCAUUUGAUUACUAUAUUAUCAUUUAAUUGCUAUUUUUUGUCAGUGGGAAUAUUAUUUUGGUCCUAAUUUCCUUUGUCAUUUAUUUUUUCAAUCACCAAAAGGUUUUGCUUUCCUAAAGAACCCUAGCAUUUGGCGGGCCAGCUCGAUUAUGUUGGAGGGUGACUCGGCCACUGUCAUCGGGUGGAUUUAGAGGGGGUUGAGGGGUGAGGGCACUGACCACCCCUUGAUCCGCGAUAUCGUGGUGAUGAUGAGAGAUGGAAUGGCCAUCCAGGCCAAGCAUGUAUUUAGGGAGGCCAACGGGGCAGCCAAUUGGGUAGCUGCCUACGUGGCCCACCAUUCGGGGUAUGCCCUUUGGUCGGGGACGGGGGAGUUGCCUUUGGCACUCCGUGAGUUACUGUAUUUUGAUCUUAUUGGGUGUAUUCACACACGUACUGUAUGAUGCAGCUGUUUUAAGACAAAAAAAAAAGAACCCUAGCAUUUUAAUUAUGACAAACAGCUCAAAAUUCUGGAACAAUUCCACUCAAACCAGAUCAUUCCCAGAUGCUGAACUUGUGACCAUGCGGGCAGUCUGCUUCAUUCAAAGGGUUCAACUAGCAAUACCUGUGGAAUAUCCAAAUGGGAACUCUGCGGCUUAGAUCUGUUGCCUAUCAGCAAAUGGCUAGAGAUUUGAGAUUUGGUACUUAAACAUUGCAUGUUUAGUAGUAUGCCUAAGUUUUCAAUUUGCACAGCACUGUUUGCAUCAUAAUGAUCAGGCCAUUUGUAAAAUCAGUCAUCUUGCAAUCUUAAACUUUCACUUCAGGAACAUAAAAAAUAACCGGGCUAAGUGCAAAUAAUCUUCAUUACCUUAAUAUAUCCGUCAAUGGUCGUUCAUAGUCUUCCCAUCUUCUAGGAGGAUAAUUUGUAAGUUCAGAAUUUCACCAAUUGCAAAUCAACUUGCACCAUUCGAAUCAAUACUGAAGAAAAAAGUUGAGCAACCUAAUUUAUAGAAAGUAAAUCUUACAUGAAAACUAAAGACCUCAUAUCCUUCAAAAGGCCUUUAAAGCAACUUGGAAUUCCUAUUGGCUUUAUAAUGUAUUUGAUGCUAUUCAGUAAGCUGAUAUAUAACAAGGCCAAACAAAAUACAUGCCAAGUGGCAAAAUGAUCUGAGAAUCAUCUUCACAUCAGACACAUCAGGCUACACAAGAUAAUGCUGAAACUGUAUUGGUUAUUGUAAAUUUAUCAACCAGGACAUCAAAAUGAAGCCAACUGAGUGCAGCCUGAGAUCACAUAAAUUACAUCUCCGAACUAGUACAAACUAUCUCCACAGCAAAUGCUUCAAUUAGGACGAUUUCUGACAUAAAUUGAGGCAAGGAUGUUGCUAUACAUGCCCUGCACCACCCGUACGUAUUCUUAACACCUCAGUACGUUUACUUCUUUCCAUGACCUCCACUAACCACUCGAUAGCAAAUUUAACCCCCGUCCUGCAAACAAGAAAAUAUGGUGAUUAUGGAUCACCGAAUAAGGCAAUACAGAAUGAUUUAACGUUCAAAGAAUAAAAAUCAAUCUUAUAGAACACAGCUGAUGUUCCAUGGGUGUAAGGAUGCCCAAAUAUCAUAUCUGUAGUUGGAUAUCCCAUAGGGAGAUCCACUUCGGAAUGGUCUACUGCAAAGAGUGGCUGAUGACCUAGAUGCCUAACUUGAAAAUGGACUUCCUAAGCAUAUCCAUAUACAAGAUGCCGCAUGCACUUGAGUCGUGACUUGCAGCAUCGCAAAUCCAUGACUUCUCAGUACUCAUAUACCUUUUCCUUGCUACACUACUCUUGUUGAAUGCAAGGCUCAAAGUCAUGCAUUCCAACCAUCCGAGGAUAUUGUUCAGAUAGGGUAUAUAUGCAUCCAAACCUAUAAUAUUAUCUACAUAUUCUCUUUCAAUUGAUUUUCAUAAUGUACUCUCCUAGAUAAUAUCAACAUAGCCAUUAUUCAGGCAGUUUACAAGAAGAGGCAUGUUAAUAGGGUUUUUUGCCCCUUCAUCUGUACAUAGUACAAGUUUUGACAAUGUGGAUAGGUAAGGGAGCUGGGGUUGAUCUACUCACCCAUCAUAUGCAGAUACAGCUUGAAACAUGUACAGCCUUUCAUCCAACUCUUUGAGAUCCAAAUACCUUGCCAGUUCUUCAACAGACACAGCUCCAGGAAGAUCCUGCCACUAUUUAUAUUUAGAACAAGAAACCUGAAGCAUUAAUUCUGAUACUAUAAAUUAACUUUCUACUGAUUCUAUAAAUUAACUUUCUACUGAUCCUUUCAGAAAUUAAAGUUACACAAUAUUUGAGCAAGUAUUACCUAGAACAAACCACUGUUCCUGCCCCCCGACCUUGAAAUAAUUUGGUGCUCACACCUUAAGGGGAAAAAUUCCAUAGAAGUUCUUUGUUUUUUACUUUCCCCAAUAAUUUAACAAUUACUUCUGUUUACAAUCUCAAUACCACAAAAGCAAGACAUUCAUCCUCUCACGACCAUACCUUUUGGAUGUCAAAAUUCUUUCUUUAAGCAUUUUCAAGUGACGAUAUAUCCAAUUCAUUCGUUCCCUAAAUAUGACAAUCUUCUUCGCUCUUUACAUAGGUUUCUUAACCCCCCAGUCAGCACAAAAACUUGAUUGUCCCAAUUGAUAGAUGUGCUGAAUCUGGAAAAGUUGAAACAAGAACUUUACCUUCAUCAAAUCAAGUAAUUAUUCCCACAUCUGAAUAUCAAACAUUGUUUUUUUCCAAAAUUGAAACUAGUUAUGAAUGUUAGUACCCAGUCAGCACAAGAACUUGAUUGCCCACAUUGUGGACCAUUUGAUAGAUGUGCUGAAUCUGGAAAAGUUGAAACAAGAACUUUACCUUCAGAAUAUCAAGUAAUUAUUCCCGCAUCUGAAUAUCAAACAUUGUUUUUCUGAACUUGAAACUAAUCAUGAAUAUUAGUACUGCCAGUGUAGAUUUUUCAUUAGCUGUUUAAUGUGCUGACAUGUUAGAUGCAGCUAUGGUUGCCAUGGCUGCAGCUUUUUUUAUUAGAAGCAUGCCUAUUGGAAUUGCAAUUUCAGAUGGAAUGCUAUUUUUUAUUUUUUCAAUAUUUUUUUAUGGUUUCUGUUACAAAAAAGAAAGACAAAGAUUCAAUUAGACAACAUUCCAAAUUAAAGGUAAAUAACAGCCACUAUUUAAUAAUUCAACCAGUUGUGGCUUACUUGGGAACAAAAUAGUGACUUAUAUGAUAGUCAUUAUUUUCCAUUAAAUGGGAAUCAACUAAAAAUGCAAAAAGAUAAAGGGGCUAUUUCCUCAAAUCACUUUCACUGAAUGGAAUAUAUUUUCCAGCUGACAUAAGAAUUUCAAUUUACAGUAAUCAGGUAAACAGUGAAUAUUUCAAAUAAUGAAUUUUAUUUUCAUUAGACGACAGGCAGUUAUAAUGGAGUAGUGGUCAAAUAUGGAUUGUCAUUUAAAUUCCUAUUAUCUAGAUAACAAAUGGCCUUCAAAAUUGCUAUGAUGACCAUAAUAACAUUGUAAAGGACAUUUUUUUUAACCCUAAAAAGAAGUGAUUUAUCAGCACAUAUUAUCUAGGUCCCACCCUUUAAUUAGUCAGUUUCCAGAAGUGCUAUUCAUUAAUUCCAUGUAAGCAAGAAUCUUUCUAAAUUGGCCUUCCUUAGAUGGCCAUAUUUUCCAACGCUUACAUAUGUAUAACCCAUCAAAACGCUAAUACCUGGAUCUCUUAUAAGAAAACUCACUAAAGAAAAAAAAUCUUUUCAACCUCCGCCAGGCUGUCCUAGAAGAUUCUCUUCAUGAUUAGACCAAUUGAAACAUCCCAAAACUGCAGCCACCUGUUGAACCCCUGCACCAAGCAGUUCCUCUUGGACCCUCAUAUCCAGCAUUGGCAAGGUGCUCUUAACCAUGGCAAUGACUCAAUGGCACAGUCUCUUCCCUCCCCCCCCUCCCACCCCCCAACACACACACACUGACUCCCUCAUGCAGCAAUCAUCCUGACUAGUCCACCAACUACCGGCGGGAGUGCUGGAUGUCCACCGUACAGAUCAGUCUAAAAUCAGUGAUCUUGCCAGCAAGCAAAUGGCCAAUUUGUGUAGUGCACUGUGGAUGGUGGUCAAAGUCCUAAAGCAGGAGAUAGCCAAGGGGGUAAGGACUUGGAGGACAUGGCCAAGGGGAAGAGGAGAUCCAUUGGACAAUGAGGGUGAUGGGUUAGAGGCAUCAAUGCAACAAUGCUACAAAGAUGAGUGAUCUGGAGAGGCCAAGGUGGGGAAAGGAUCUCUCUUUCAAAGAACCACUAGAAUCAAGUGGCAAGCCUAUAUUUGAGCUACUGUAGCUUGACUUGAAACUUGGCUAUCAUCUUGACUAAAGUCGAGUUAUUGCAACUUAGUCCAAAACAUCAGCCUGACUUGCUGCGGUUCACUGAGCUGCAGUAAAUGGAACUCAAAGCCCAAGUCUUUGCAACUAGACCUGCCGGAAGGUCCACUAGAGCAAACAGACCCUCAAGAGAACACAAUUGCUGCAAUCACGGAUUCUUUUUCCCCAUCUCUAUCCUUGGGAGGAGGAGGAGGGGUGAAAAGAAAGAACAUAAAGCUAAGCAAAGGCUAGCCAGAGGCCAAAAAGUUUGUAUUGUCAUGGCAUUAUAUUAUCAAUUGUUUAGCUCAAAAACCUAUUUUUAAAUUAUAUUUUGUUAUAACAAUAUCAUAGGAGGAAACAUGUCGAGGUACCUAGUUUGAAAAGUUUGAAUUUCAACAAAGUUUAUUCCAGUUUAAUCUGUAAUAUCUUCCCAACAUUUUUUUGUGUACAAAAUUUGCUAAGAUGGCGUCGAUGUGUUUUCCACAGGUAACAUAUUCGCCAAACCAAAAGAUACAACUCUCAACAACAUGAUUACAGUUUAGAUAUUAAUAUGAUUUGGAAGCUCUUAUCAGUGUCAGGGAGUUUCUUUGGUAAUAAUGCAUAUAAUAAAAUUGUGUCAUCAAGAAAAGUAUGACAGUUGGGCCAUAACCUAGUCAUACUAUGUUGGCCCAUCAAAACAAGUUGACCAAUCACUUCUACUAGCCUAUGAAUACCAUUGGCUUAAGGCCGAACAUAAAGCCACAGGUAAACUGGUCGACAUUAUUAAAUAUGAUAACGAGAUGGUGGAAUUGAUCCAGGCCAAUUAAAAAAGGUGUGGAAAAAUACAGAAAAGCAAUGACCUAUAACAUGUGCAAAGGUAGUAAACUAACAUCACUCAAACUAAACAAAAGAAAAAUGAAAAGGCAAAAAAACUCUAACCUGCUUGUUGGCUAAUAUCAGAAGUGGUGCCCCUCGUAAAUCCUCAUGUCGAAGUACUUUUUCUGUUCAGCAGUUUCUAGAUUUAUUAUUCAUAAUAUAUAUGUGACUAUACAGAAAAUAAUGCAUACAUAAUUCAAGCUGAAUGGCUGUAGUAGGCCAAAAUCAAUAUCAUAUAAAUUUUUCAAGAGAUAAUGCAGUAGUAGUGGCUGGUACUAACCUAAUGCAGACUUGGAAUGUUCAAAUGAUGAUGGACAAGCAGCAUCAAUAACAUAGAUUAUAGCAUGUGCCUCCUCAUAAUAUUUUUCCCAGAUUGUUCGCAGACCAACCUGCCAAUUUAAGUUAAACAUGUCAUAAUUUUGAAGUUUGAUAACCAAAAGCACUAUAUUGCUUUCAGUCAUGCAUUUAAAGAUGAAGUUUUUGCAAAUUAAGCCCCCACUAUCUCCCCUUGUGAACUUUUGUAUCUUGAAGCAAAUAGUCCUAUGAUAAUCUCUACAAUCUAAUUUAUGGGUUCCUUACGUUGUUCGAUCAAAUGUAAACACACUUUCAACUCCAAAGUUCAAUUUCCCCAUGCACUAAAGACAGGUAAUAUGUGGACCUGGAGUUGAAAGGUAAUGUUAUUGACAUAUUAAUAUCAGUGAUUAGGAAGGGAAAUACUAUAACUUCUGUAGGCACUGACAUACUAUAAAACUAACGAAGAGUACUGUGGCAGAUAAUGCUUAUCACAGUAUUCUUGCGUGACUUCUUUAGACCUAGUUUUGCACAAUUUUCCACGCAGAUAAUUUUUACUCAAACAAUAUGAAAUCAAGUCACUCUUGAAUGAAGGGGUGAGUCUGCCAGUUCAACAAGCAAGACAAAGGGGUUAUUCUAAAACGUAGGAAACUCAAAUAUCACAUUAACUACAAUUUGGAAACUAGAAAACUGCUUUAGAAUACUUUGGAAACUAGAAAACUGCCUUAGAAUACCUAGAGCGAGCAGCACAAAUUAUUAAACAAUUGAGCAAACUUUUCACAAUGGAGAAUAAUAAGAGAGAAAUCAUUUGCAUACAAGAAGUCUGAAUUGUUAGUUAGUUUAAGCAGUAUCAUAUUGCAGUUAGACAGUACAAAAAAAAUAUUGUUUUGAAGAAUUCUACUUGUAGAUCUUUGCAAGAUAAUCGAGAGAUCAGUAAGGUGUCAGCAUCCAUGUUGUGAUUAAAAAAAUAGAAGAAAUUGAAUUUCACAUUCUAGUAAAAUAUUGUUUCAUAUCAAUAAUGUUAUUUUGUUUAUUUAGGAUAAGAAUGUGAUUUGUAAAAUAAUAUCUUUGGGAUGGCUGAAGUUUCUGAAAUAAGACUCCAAUGAGCAAUUACCUCAAUAAUACUGAUAUGUUUCUUUGUGCUCGUGUUUGUCACCAAUGCAUUACUAUUUUGCCUGCGGCAGCCUAAAGUGGGAUUGGUUACAGAAAUUGAAUCAGGAGUAAGGUGGUAGUAAUCAGCAAAAGAUAAAGAAAAAGAAGCAAGAGCAAAUAGAAAAUGAAUACAUUCUUAUUUGUUGAUGGCAUUUUAGCAAUAGGUUCAAAGAUCAAUAGAAUUGAUUGAUGGAGCAUUGAAUGAAAUGGGAUGGGCAUGUACAACGAAGAUCUGAGAUGGCACUAGUAAAGAAUAUCACUUUAAUUUGUCUUAAAGGAUGUAGGAGGAAAAGACCUAAGGGAAGAUGAGGCUUCUGAGAAAAGAUAUAGAAAAGCUUGAAAUAAUAUUAGAGUUGAUAUUAAAUAGGAAUAAUUUGGAAUGAGGAUCCAUUAAGCUGACUCCAAACAGUUGGGAUGAAGUUUGAUGGUUAUGGUUAUGGUUAUAAAAUCAAUGGAAUACUGAAUAACAUGCAAUCAACGGAAAGAAAUUGUAGUCUCGACAAUAUGUUAUUAGUAAUGGAAGACUCAUGGGUGCAUGUGAAAAGGACUCCAGUGAAUUUACAUCAAGAAUUACCUAGGUCAAGCCCAUAUUUGUUUUGAAUAGAAGACUUCUACCCAAACAUGAUACCAACUAAUACAUUCUGAAUUUUAUGGGCCAGGAAAAAAUAAUUUAAUUGUGCUGCCAACCCCAGAUAGAUGGGCAAAUGUUGAAUGGUUAUUGUUAUAAAGAAUUGAGCAUAGAUGUUGUAUCAAAACGUGAUUUUUGGAUCUAGAAUUCAGAUAUGAUUUACCUCGACAAUGCAUGUGAAUGAAACAUUUAAUGCAUGCCAACUGGGCCAUGGAUCAAAUCAAAUGCCUCCACCCAAACCGAAUCACAACUUUGUGCAGGUGGAGGGAUUGCAAAAACAAGUACUAGCAGGCUAAAUUGUAUCCCUGCAAAUUAAGAUGCAUAUGACCCAUGCAAUUGAUUCAUACCCAUAUCAAUGGAAACUAAAAUGAAAGCAUACAGGAGCAGGAGUGUGAGCACCACUGUUAAUUACACUUGCACACUCAGCAAGGGUGCCAAAAAUCUAACUGUCCUCAGGGGUCAAACGCAGAAGCCUCCAAAAUCUAGGAACGAGAACAUGGCAUAUCCAUAUAUGUAUAUAAGUAUGUAUCUCUGGACAUAAGCAUAUAUAUAUAUACACACACACACAAAUAUUCUUACAAUACACAUAUAUGUAUGUAUAUAUGUAUGAACAAUCACAAACAUAAAUAUAUGCAUACUACAUCAUGGACACCAGCUUUGCCUUUCAAUGCUUUAAAAGGAAGUUGCAAUAUGCAGGGAGUCAAGAGGUUGCAUAGUGCAUAUGCAUUGUAUGAGCUGCAUAUGCGGUUAGUAUUUUAAAUAUUUAAAAAUAAAUAAAAUACAUUAAAUGCAAUAAUGACAGCAAUAUGUUUUAUAAGUAAUAGCAACACUAAUAAGAAUAAUAUCUAGCAAUUAGUGUUUACUACUCAAUAUUUAAUACUUAGUACUAAGAAUAAUAAUAUAACUUGCAUAAUGAUACUAUCAAUAUACAUAUAGGGGUGCAAAUAGGUCGGGUUGGACCGGGCUAUGAGUAACCCUGACCCAACCCGAUUUCUUGUUCGGAUCCUAAUAUUGGACCUAGACCCAAUCCAAUAGAAGAUCGGGUCGGGUCCGGUCUAGUCCAUUGCUAAAAUUUUUGACCCAACAGGUCAUUCAGGUCGGAUCGGAUCCAUGUAUAAUCCGAUCUCAACCCAAAAAAUCAGGUUCGAGUCAAGUCUGGAUCGGGCCCAAAUGGACAUGAAUGAGUAUGACUGUCUGUGAAGCAGAAAGCAGCCUCAAUGACUUUCUUUUUGGAUAUUGAAGGACAAAAAACCACAAACUAGAUAAGACUGACUGGCUGCAAAAACAACAUGCAGUGCUUCAUCAAAUCAGAUUAUCUAGAGAAUAGCCCAUGUCUUUUUUCAAAGCUCAGUUGUUACUUUGUUACUACAAAUGCUCAUUAUUCUUUAAUAAGCCUUCAAAACCAAGCAAUAAAAUUGCAUGAAUCAUUCUAUGUUCUGAAUUGGAGCUAUAAACUCAAUAUGCAAAAUACUGCUCACAUACAGGACAUGCACAUAAGUCAUAAGGCAUAACAUAGAGAACAACAUGGGUUCGGACUUUAUCGGGCCCAAAUGGUUUGCCGGAUUCAGUUCGGGUCCAGUCGGAUCGGGUCGUAGAGUUAGAAACCCAAAAUUGUCCAAAAUUCAAAUGGGUCGGAUUAGGUCGAGUCGGGUCUAAAUUUAGUAAACCUAGACCCAACCCAAAAAAUAGAAUGGGCCCAAUUUUAGAACCCAACUCGGCCCGAUGGGUCCUCCAAAAUGAGUUGGAUCGGGUCUAAGCAGGUCGGGUGACAAGUCAACUCGACCCAUUUGCAGCCUUAUAUACAUGCAACUAGCCUCAUUAAAACUCACAUCUAAUCCAACCAUUAGCUUGAACAUGCCUAGUUCAUGUAGGCCCACAUAAGUGUGGACAAGUAUGUGUUUGCACAAUACCACAAAGCCCACAUAUAUGGUUACACAAUGAUAAGUAGGCUACAUAUGCAGCCACAAAAUGCUAAGCAUGCUGCAUGUCUUGGUAAAGUGCUAAAAAAAAAAUUUUCAACCCAACAUGCAGCCCAACUGCAUAUACUAGCCACAUAUAGGGUAUGCAGUGCGAUCAUGAGACUGUACAUGCAUAUGUGGCCUCAUGAACCACAUUUUAAAACACUGGUGUUUUCUGAUGUUUAUUAAAAGAAAGGAGAAACUUGAAAGGGGAAGGAGAAUUACAAAUCUAAGAAACAAAUUAAUAAAAUAUUCAUGAGUUUGCAAGUUAUUUAAUACUCACUGAGUUUAUUCAAAAUUAUUCAAUCACAAUGCAUUUGUAUUUCACACAAAAUGACAAUUACUUAAAGUGUUAAUUUAAUUGCAAUGACUUCAUACUUAAAACGUAAUAGCACUUUGCUAGACAUGCAAUAUGGAUAUUAAGUCGCUCUUUUUUAUGUGCAAUAUCAAUAAGGAUUGAAUUGAAGUUCAUCUAAUAUCUUAUUGAUAUUUGCUUGCAGUACAAUCAACUGUGACAGUAAAUUGACUGUAGCAUAAGGAAUAAGUUUUGUCCCUAUUCCAUACCAGUUAUGGUCAAAACUUAUAACUAUUUAGAUAAAUGGAUACAAAGUUCAGAGAAUUCACAACCGAGAACUUUAACCAGAUUUUCGAUUAGCGUCAGCAUUUAUUUCUCACUAGAUUUCUAUAGUUCUGUGAUUGAAUAAUUUUAGCAUGUUUCUUUUCGUUAUUGAGUCAGAUAAUUCUAUUUCUAGUAUGAUAUUGUAUCAAGUUUAAGGCCCAACCAAUUUGUCUUUUAGACUUCACUUUGAAUCAGCCAACAUGGCCCUUCACCUUUUGUCCUCCUAAACAGGAUGAGCUUUGAUACUGACCGAAGCGGUCUUCGUAUCAGGUUGUAACGAUUGGAACAGGUGGUUCAUCCUAUUCCCGUGCUUUACAAAAUUAAAAAUCUAUCAUCCCGACUAGGACAGGCUUUGUACCGUCCUUGGUACCACUCAGAGACGGCAGGUAGCUCCAGAUUUUGCUUGUUUCAUGACCAAGUGCCAAUUUUGUGCAGAAAUAGUAUGACACCGAUGCCACCAUCCUGUUUUGGCCGGAUUCAAAUACACGAUGUGAAACAAUACUAUUGAAAAAUGAUAUUUUAUCAUGCUAAUCUUUUGUUGUUACAACAUGUACCUUGCAAUGACAUAUGCUGGGAACAAAUGUACUAAUUAUAAUUAAUUAAGAAGUAGAUCUGAGUAGUGACUCUUUUAUUUAUGUUAAAAAAACCUUUUCCUUUCUCUAUAGCCAAAACUGCUGCAUCAAACUAGACCAAAUAUAACUAACAGAACUGUUUACAAAGAAUACAUAACUAGUGGCAUAAGCCUUGCAACUUCAGAAUAAUUUCAUAAUUUCAAAGUUGGGCUUGAAAACACAUACCUGACCUCCUAAGUCCCAAAACACAAGUUUUGCAUUUGAAGCUUCAAUACGACCAAUGUUCAAUCCAACUGUUGGAACAAUCCGGUCAGGUGGGAGCCCUUCCAAGUUUGAAUACAAUGACUUCAACUUCUCCAACAAAGUCUUCAUUUUCAAAAAUAUAUUAAGCAUCAAGUUUAGCAUACUGAAUAAAUAAAAAACUUAAAAAGGAAAACAAGAUGUAAUAUUUAGUGAAGGAAUGGAAGUGAAUCUCAAUGAAGCAAGAAGUUGAAAAAAAAAAAAAGCAAUGUCACCUUUUUCAUUGCAUAUAUGCACAAGUAUAUAAGUGAAAAAUUUUGUUCGGUAUGUGCAUGGAAACAAGAAGAAAAUCAACAAAGAAAUAUCAAAUCACAAACUACAACUCAUAUGUUUGAUUACGAAGCCUAUAGCAAAUAAGGAGAUGACAUUGUCUUCUCUCUAACUAUACGGAAUAAAAAAAUAAGUGACUUACUUCUUUUUACAUCACCAACAUGAUUCAUUGUCAAACUCAAACUCAAAAGAAAAGGAGAUUUACAAUUCCUAUUUGCAGAAUACAGAUAUCAGGCAUGCCUAUAUAAUUACCCAUAACUGUGGCCAUAUUAAUUGCAUAUCUGAUGUUCAUCUGAUCAAAAUAAUAUUUUCAUAUUCAAAUUUGCACAAAUAGUUAGAAGAAUGUUAUCUUUCAUGACCAAUUAUGUUCUCAUAUAAUGUUGGCCAACCACUUGUACAAUGGUAACUACAGACUAUAACUAGGAAUUAUUUGAUACAUAUAUUUUAAAAGUACACUGUUGAUUAACAGGUCUCACUACCAAUGGCGAGCAAUGCCAAAAGAAGCCCAAAAAAUAAGGCUAAGUACCAAUAGCUAACAUAAGAUCUAUAAUAAGUAACUAAAGAUGAGAAGCAGAAUGCGGCAGUUCUGUCCUGGCUGACAAAAGAACAAUAACAUGCAACUGAACUUGCAAUGGAAGGAGAUAAAAUUUGACGUUGCCAAGCAUAUAAAAAUGUUCAUUUUGUAUAGUUAGAAGGAAACUAAUGCAAGUAGAAGAACAGAACAUGCUAAACAUCACUGCACCAUGCCUACAAGAUACAAGCUUGGAGAGGGCUACAAGUGUGUGUAACACUCCAUGCAGGUUCAUAUUAGUGCAUGACAAAGAGUGCCCUACCAGCAGAGAUCAAUAUGGGCUAGCAAAAACCUAAUUUGUUUGCCACAAGCAUCCUAUGCCACUGGACCCUUUGAUUACUCUUAAGUACCCGCAUAAGACACAUAUAUGGAUUUUGAUAGCACUACAAGAAGAAGUUCCUAGAUUCAAAGGAUCAUUUGCUAGAUUCAUACUGUGCAACCAACACAUAGCUGAGCCCACGUAACAUAGCAAGCACCUAGCAUGUGGACCAGCAGUGGGCAUAUGACCAACAUCAUACAUAUCAUGCUAACCAGCUACCAACAUAGGAACAGCAUGCAGUACAUAAUAUCAUCAUUCAAUUAUGAGAGCAGGUUAUAUAAUUCAAUAAAGUAUGUCUUCCUACCGGACAACUAGCCCCAUAGAUUUCAUAUAAGUCUUCACUUGCCUAGAACAGCCUUCUCUAGGAGCCAAAACUAAAUAAAGCAGGGUUGACAUCAUGCUCCAUCUUCAUUGAAAACAAAAUUAACAAGUCUCAAUGAUUAUGCCUAUUCCAUAAAGUUAACCCAUGUGAAUAAGAUCAAGCUUGUUAGAUAAGGUUGAGAAUCUUUGUAUUCAUUGGAAAAGUAAAUAAAAUGACACAAGAUCUCCAACUAAAUGGAAAUAAAAGAUUGAACUAAUUGAAAUAAAGGUCGCAAGGAAGACAUUAAUAAUAAGAUGGAAAUACAGGAACUAGAUUGAAAUAAUUGAAAGGUAAUAGCAAUGCAACAUAUUAAAAUUCAAAAGAAAAACUAAUAGAUACUGGGUAAUCGAUGGGCAAAAUUAAUAGAAACUCAAUAGAGAACAGGACUGCUCUCAAAUGUGAGCACCAAAAUCACAGAACGAUAAGAUUGGGUUCAAAUGAAAUAGGGGAAAAUCCAACCAAUUUGAUUAAUAAAAGCAUGACCAGAAUGUGUCAUUAAAAUUACUUUGCACAAAAAGGGAAACAAAAAAGUGAGGAAAAGAACAAUCUAACCAAUUUUCUGAUGUGUGGUAAUAUUGAGUUAGGAUAGAUCGCACAUUUCUAGCUAAUGAAUUGGUUGAAAGAGGAUUCAAAUUGGCAGCAUCAUGAAGAAGGCUGAAAAAGGAAGAAGGAAAUAUUUCCCAUGCAUGGGCGAUCUUCAAUAUGAACUUGAGAUUGGUAGAGCAGAAUUGUGCCAGUAUGCUUUACCGACAUGACUGCAUUGAAGAAUAUCGACACUGCAACAUUUUUCCCAUGAAUAAAAGAUCCUCAAUCUUAACCUACAAUUAUAAUAGCAAGGUUGCAAUCAUGCAAGUUCAACACCAUCAUUAUUAAGCUACUUAAAUAAUUCACUCGCUUUAUCAUUAGUUACAAGUAUAAAUAUAUAAAGGAAGAGAGGGGUAAACUGGCUCGCAUAGUUGAUUGGAGGAGCAAAUAGGGAGACUUUUGCAGGAAAUGUGGGAAACCAAAAAUACAUAAGAAAGGUAAGAGAGGGGCAAAAGGAAUCAGAAAGCUAAUCAGAGAGGGUGAAUAUGAGGCAUAAAGGGAAUACGGUCAGGAUUUCCAAAAUCAAAUAAGCCCAAUUUGGCCUACUGUACUAUGAUGAUACCAUAAAGAAUAAAUGUACACCCAUGCUGCAUGUAAAACAAAAGGAAAUCAACGCAUGAACACAGAGCUUCUCAAUAUCUGACAUAAAAGACUAUUGGACUUGUACAUACACACAAAGCAACAAAAAUUCAGGAGAACACUGCAUUUUUAAGCACUAAAACUAGGUUGUAUGUCAAAAACAUAAAUUUAAAAAGAAGUUUGUAGGUUAAAAAAAACAUAAGGAAGGCCAAGAAUUACAGUUUUUCCAGCUUUGUCAAUUCCAAGAAUAAGAACAUGGAACUCUGUCUUGCUGAAGAGAUAUUUCCAAAGUCCAUAGAACAACGAGAACAUUUCUUUGUCGUCCUUGUUGCCUUAAGAAAGUUUGUACUUAGCACUAACUUUCAAAAUCCAAGAAAGAUUUCCAUAAAAACAAUGUCAAAAUCGUCUUCAUACACCACUGUAUCCUGCAUAGAUAAACACACGACUCAAGAUCGAGAACCAGAAAAUGAGAGAUGAAAAACUAGUGAUAGGUGCAAAAUCAUUCUUGGCUAUUUGCAAGCAUAGUUCUUAAAUUCAUUGACAACUCUGCGCAGCAGACCUAACUUAAUGUCCCUACAGUCACAGAGGUGCCUAGUUAUUUGCCUGAAAAGCAGACUCUAUACAAAGUCAAUCAUUUUGAUUUAACCUCUUCAUUUACAAUAUUAGAUUUUUGCAUUUUUCAAUAGUUUAGUAUUUUAAUAUUUCUUAAGGACUACAUGGAUAAAUAAUUAGAAACAUUUCAAAAUUUACUGAAGUUUGUAAUAUAUACCAAACUCCCAAAAAAUUACAAAAGGAAUAAGAUAAUGUUGCUGUUCUUUAAGCUAGAGUGUUAGAGAUUAAAACGAUUCUACAAUUGUCCAUCUUCCUCAAGACCAAAGCUCAUGUGUAGGUUUUGAAUGAAACAAGGAUCAAGAUAUCGCCUGCCAGUGCCAUGAUGGUUAGCACAGUACUAAUCAUGCCAUUCCAUGGCUGGCAAACACUGGCACAAUGGCAUACCAAGCAUUGGAAUGCAGCCGAUAUUGUGCCACUGCAGCAUGCUGGUAAGGCACAAGCACAAUAUAUAAGGUGUAUUAAUCCAUGAAAUGAAAGAUCUUUCAUGUUCAGCACUUGAAUUGAAGUUCUUUUUCUUUCCUAUACAACUCCGUCUAUUACUUGUUUGAUAUAUUUUACUCCCUUGUUAGCAUUCAUGUAGUCAUUCAUAACGAGAAAUAAGAAGUUAAUACUUCCCAUGUCAUCGAAAAAAGAAAAAAGUUCAGAGAGUAGUUAGGGAUCGGAGCAGAGCAUAAUUAAUCCACGACGGGCCGAACAAUCAUAGCAUUAAUAGAACACGUACAGUUAAGCACAAAAAAAUCAUAGCAAGUAAGGGGUAAAAAACACAGAUCCAGGCACACAAAUGUACAGAACACACACACACACACAAUUCCAAGUUAGAGGUGGGAGAUCCACAUUUACGGUUGAAUCAAGGCGGAAUAUCUGCAUCUAGGGUUACAGGGAAUGGAACUGGAUCCUCACCGAAGAUUCAAUUUCGUCGGAAAUCAAACGCCCGGAGGCCGAGAUGCCCGUGCCGAGAUGAUGAUAGCGGAGUUCUUGACCGCCGCAGGAGACGAGGAGAGAGAACGGAGAGAAGGAGAUCGCCGGCCGGAGGGGAGAAAGGGAAGAGAGGAACGGAGGAGGGGGGGCGAGAGAGAGAGAGAAUGAUGAGAUCGACGGAGGAGGGGGCGAGAGGAAUCGGAUUCGGGAAUCGGGGGAAGUCGGUCUAGCCCGCAACAGCAAGACCCGUGGCCGACAGGGCGCCGGUCGACCGGCUGCGGUUCGGACCUUUUCCGUUUAUAACGGCUGGAGUUUGCUGCACUCAAAGAGCUGAAGGCCUAAAGCAUGACAAGCAGGUCCAUUUUGAUGCCACCGCACUGACUCCUGGGCGUUCCUCGAGUUUGUCACGUGCUAUAUACACGUGGCCAGCUUUUCUGUUUUGAGUAAAUUAUAUUUUUUUUUUUGAGAUCUAUAUUUAUUAUACUUAUAUUCAGUUAAAUUAACAGCAUUAAUAAAUCCAUUUAGCUUAUAUAAAAAGAAGUUAAAAUUAUUCCUGAGUAAAUUAUAAAAAGCUCCUAAGAUUAGAGGUGAAUUAUACUUACAUCCAAUAGUUUGAAAAUCCACGCUUAUUCCCUUAAAAUUUGUUUUUAUCUAAUACUUUAAUCCAUAACUCAACAGAAUGUUGACCAAACCAUUAACUUAAAUAUAACCUAAAUGCCAUAUUAGAAAAAAAAUUAAAAAUAACCAAACUGGUCUUAAGUUGUAUAACAUUCACCCAAGAAGGAGAACAGUUUUAAGGUUCCAUUAGUCUAAGCUUGAUCUCGAUGAAUUAUCAGAAAAAUGUCAUAUGCCAAGAAAAAAGCAAUCUAGAUCUCUCAAGCAAGUGGAUGCCUCUAAAAUUUUCUGCUGCGAGGAACCAACAUCAAGAGUUUUAUCGCUUGAGCUAACCUACCCAUGGUCUAAGCCAGACUAUGGAACCACAACUGAUGCACCCUCCGAAAGAAGAGUUUUCACACGUAUUGAUUUAGAUCUUUUUGAUGAUAAGCUGCGAGAGCUAUUAUAGCUCCAUAUUAUAGGAAUCUUUAUUCACAUCGACAACAUUAAAGAAUUAUAUCUACAGUAUUUGACAAGUUGUCACGCCCCGAACCCGGAUCCGUGACACGGCCGUGCCAUUGCCGACUAUCGCCCACAAUAGCACGCAGCCUCGUACAGGGGUAACAGGUGGCCAAUAAAAUUUAAAAUUUCAUAUAUUAAAAUAUUUCAGUUUAACCUUUAAGGCUGAUACAAAAAUACAGAACUUCUAUACUAUUCAAGUAUACAAAAGUAUGUAUGCUUCUCCAAAAAUAAAGAAGCUCUGUUACAAAUGAAAAAUAUAUCUGAAGGCGAUCACUGGUAAGGAUCUGAAAAGAAAUGAAAACAAAUAGGUAUGAGCUACACGACUCAGUAAGUAAUUCUGCAUAAUCCUAUCAGAUCAACUAACAUGCUAAACAUGUUUAUCAGGGUUUGAGAAGCUGACAUGCAUAUUAUCUAACAAUUUAUCAUGGCAAAAUAUGUAUGCUGGGUAAACAAAGCAGUAUUUCGAGUCAAGCAAAAAUUUUCAUAAAGUAUACAUAUGAAACCGUGCCCCCGACAUGUCGUGGUCCAUUCUCUCGGAUGCUACUGCGAAGUCAGUCUCGGCCAUUGGCGGGGCCAGCUCAGUUAUUAUUCAGCCACUGGUGGGGCAGGCUCAGUCAUUCUCGGCCACGAGCAAGGCCAGCUCAGUUGUAUUCGAUCAGUAGCAUCUUUGAGUCCAUUUGUAGUGCCCUUCGGCUAAAUAAAAAAUUUUUGUUGUACUAACUUGCAUGCAUGAUUUAAAAUAUCAGCUUAAUCGUAAUGCAUAUAUGGCCACAAAUUGUAAAUCAGGCAAGUUACUUACUUAUCAUAACAUAUCAUUCAUGAAGUAUGUACUUGAAUAAUACUUAGGAAAAUAUUAAUAAUAUUACAUGAUCCAAAGUAGGAUUAGAACAGGUUACUUACAAUAAAUAGUAUUCCAAUUCCUUGGGUCCGGAUGACGGGUCUUGAUUUCUAAAAUUACAUUGCAAGACCCACAUUAUCCUCUAAUUAAUAUAAAUUUCAUUCAUCUUACCAUGGACUUGUUUGUAUCCCAACCAAGGAUUUAGCCCAGUUCAAUUCACUCAACUUGAAGCCUUUGGGUUUAAUUAAAGUAGAUUUGGGUCUACAAGGCCUAAUUGGGCCUUUAAUGAAAGGGUUGGGUCGGAUUUGUGGUUAGGUCCACCCUUUUUCUAGCCAAUUUGGCCCUCUGCCAAUUUGAUUAGGCUUGAUCUGGACCUGAUUUAGAACUAAUUGGGCCUGCUGGAACCAAUAUGAUAUGGACAGGGUACGGACCUAGCUAAUUUGAGCUUAAUUGGGUUUGGGUCCAGCCCAAUUUGGCUUAAUUGGGUUUGCUCAGGCUUAGACCCGUUGUCAUUUAGGCUUAAUCAGACUCUCUUCCCCAAUUNNNNNNNNNNNNNNNNNNNNNNNNNNNNNNNNNNNNNNNNNNNNNNNNNNNNNNNNNNNNNNNNNNNNNNNNNNNNNNNNNNNNNNNNNNNNNNNNNNNNNNNNNNNNNNNNNNNNNNNNNNNNNNNNNNNNNNNNNNNNNNNNNNNNNNNNNNNNAGGAGAUUGGAGCACUUGGAUUGGUCCUCUGCUUCGUGUGGAUACCCGUAGAGGUCGGGCACUUGAACGGCUUCAAGCGAACCCUCAUCCAAAACCACGAUCAUCAGUUUGCGGUGAUCAUCUACCCGCAAAAGGUAAAGAUCUGAUCUUCUAAUGUUUUAAAAGGUUUUUAAUCCUUAUCUAUCUACGAACGGUUUUUGAACAAUGUUCAUGCGAUGAACGGUUGAUCCCGCGCAUGCCUCUUCCGCUGCAUCUGAAAAUUUUGAAAUUUCAGCGGCAUGAUCGGGGUUUUCUAACAGCCGGAGGAGAGGAGAGGAGCUGGGAGGUGGGAUCGAGGCCGGAUCUCCUCCGGGAGGUCCUCUCCGGCUCCGACCACGACGAGGUAUGGCCGUGGUCCGAGGUAGGUAUUUUAUUUUAUGUAUAUAUAUAUAUAUAUAUUUUUGUCCUUCUUCUUCUUCUGUUUCGUUCUUCUCCCUUUUUCCCCCUUUUCUUUGUGGAAGUCGCGCCACCACCUUCUCGCUGGCGGAGAGGUGGGGUUCGGCUAAGGCUGGCGGCCUUGAGGCCGCGUCUGUCGCCGGCACGGCCAGACCCGGUGGCCCUUGGCUGCCCCUCAGCCCUAGGGUAGCCAUGGCCGGGGCCUCUCACCCGCAGGCCGAGUCCGGUUGGGCUCGGCCCGGGUGGACGUGGGCCUGGGCUUGGCCGUCCUUGGGCCGGCCCAUGGCCUGUGGGUUCGGCCCGCAGUCCGUGGGUCCGGCCCGCCGCCCGUGGGUCCUCCUCCUGUCUCCCUCUAGUGCCGGUCCUUUUCUUCUUGCGCCGAUCUCCCUCCCUGUGCCGGUCUCCUCUCCUCUGUUUCAUGGAUGAAACAGAGAGGAGAACACCCCACAGAGGGUUUCUCUCCCCCAUUUUCCUACCUAAAACCCUACUUACAGGGCCCUUACCUUGAUUCGGUUGACUGGAGUUGGGCAGUACCUCCUUCUCGGCAAGUUCCCUCCUUCCUCUCCUAGGGGUACAAGGUCCCUUCUGCCUCCAGCUCCAAGGCUUGGCUCUCUGGUGCAGUAGAUCCAGAGGGUUAGUGGGUUAGGGAGGGUAUAUCAAAUUCGGGGUUAGCAAAUCUUAGGGGUUUUAAAUAACAGGCUUAGGACUUGACCCCAAAGGAGAGGUGGCGUUCUCUCCUUCCUCACUACUCCAAGAGCCACCAGCUGUCCCUCCUCCUCAGGUCAGCUCCAAGCUCAGUUGCCAAGGGGGAGGAGGUGGCGGGCUCCCAUUUUGCAUGUCUGUGGGGGUCUCUCCGUUGGCCAUCUGGUGGUCCUGUCCUUUCAGCCCUUAGGGGAAGACAGCAGUCUGCCCUUCCUGGGCCAGCGUGGCCCGCUAACCCCCCUGGCCCAAUACCCUUCAACUGGGCCCUACAGUAUUGGGCCUGGUCUAUAUUGGGCCCGGACAUUACAUCCUUCCCCCCUUAACAAAAAUUUCAUCCUCGAAAUUAAACAUACCUUGGUUCUCGAAGAGCUGAGGAUAACAUUGACGCAUCUCUUCCUCCAGUUUCCAGGUAGCUUCCCUUUCAGUGUGAUUAGUCCACUGGACUUUAACGUAGGGAAUGGUGCACCUUCGGAGGAUUUGCUCUUUUCUGUCUAUGAUGCGCAGGGGAGCUUUCUCAUAGGUUAAAUAUUUAUUUAAUUGUAGAGGCUCAUGUGGCACCAUAUGGCUGGGAUCCGGGAUGUAUCUCCGUAGUAGAGAGACAUGGAAGACGUUGUGUACGCCGGAUAGUUCUGGAGGUAGGGCCAACUUGUAGGCAACCUUGCCUAUUCUGGCAAGAACCUCGAACGGGCCGAGGUAGCGAGGACCUAACUUGCCGUACCUUCCAAAUCGGGUAAUACCCUUCGAUGGAGAAAUUUUUAGGAAGACAAAGCUCCCCUCCAAAAAUUCCAAGGCCCUCCUUCAUCUAUCAGCCCAUCUUUUCUGUCUGUCCUGGGCAGCCUGAAGCCUUUGCUUAAUAAGAAGUACUUUAUCUCUAGUGUGCUGGACCAGUUCGGGGCCCAGCAUUCUCCGCUCCCCGACAUCAUCCCAAUGUAGGGAGGAUCGGCAUUUUCUCCUAUAGAGAGCUUCGUAUGGGGCCAUCUGAAUGCUGGAAUGGUAGCUAUUGUUAUAAGCAAACUCCACCAGUGGUAUAUGACUAUCCCAAUUUCCACCUAGAUCCACAGUACAUGCCCUCAACAUGUCUUCCAGAGUUUGGAUUGUCCGCUCUGACUGGCCGUCAGUCUGGGGGUGGUAUGCUGUACUGAGCCUCAGUCCGGUACCCAUAGCCUUCUGAAAGCUUUUCUAGAAUCUAGAUACGAAUCGAGGGUCGCGAUCAGAAAUGUUGCUCACUGGUACUCCAUGCAGGCGUACAAUCUCGUCGAUAUAUAAUUGGGCUAGCUUGUCCAAAGGGGUACCAAUCCGGAAAGGUAGGAAGUGGGCCGAUUUUGUGAGGCAGUCAACAAUCACCCACACUGCAUCAUUUUUCCUCACUGUUUUGGGGAGCCCUGUAACAAAAUCCAUAGUAAUGUGCUCCCAUUUCCAUUCUGGGAUCUCUAUGGGUUCUAGUAACCCUGCCGGCCUCUGGUGCUCUGCUUUUACUAGCUGGCAAGUCAAACAUCGUGCCACAAACUCAGCUAUUUCUCUCUUCAUCCCCUUCCACCAGUAAUGUUCCCGAAGGUCCCUAUACAUCUUAGUACUGCCAGGGUGGACAGAGAAACGGGAUUGGUGGGCCUCUUCCAGUAUCUAUUUUCUUAGAUCAGCAUCCGUUGGAACACACAAUCGGUGGCCAAACCUCAGGGUGCCAUCUGGGUGUAUUUGGAACUUGGGUCGCACCCCUUUCUCCACCUCAUCCUUGAGCUGGCAGGUGAGCUCAUCAGACUGCUGGGCGACUUUGAUUCUGUCGAUCAAUGUUGGUUGUAUACUCAAAGUGGCCAGCAGACUUCUUGGAGUUCAGGUAACCACCUCAACCUACAGUUUGUCGAGAUCCUUCUGAAUCUGUGGUUGAGUGGUGAGUAAUGCGGCGGAGCCCACUACUGACUUUCUGCUCAGAGCAUCAGCCACCACGUUGGCCUUCCCUGGGUGGUACUUAAUACUCAAGUCAUAAUCCUUCAGGAGUUCCAACCACCUUCUUUGCCUCAUAUUCAAUUCUUUCUGGGUGAAUAUAUAUUUCAGGCUCUUGUGGUCGGUAUACACUUCACACUGUCCGCCAUACAAAUAAUGUCUCCAAAGUUUCAAGGCGAACACCACUGCGGCUAGCUCUAGGUCAUGGGUCGGGUAAUUCUGUUCAUAGGAUUUUAGCUAUCUUGAGGCAUAGGCUACUACCUUGCCAUCUUGCAUCAGCACACAGCCUAGCCCGUUCUUGAAAGCAUCACUAUAGAUGGUAAAUUCUCCGGUUAAGGACGGCAAUGUUAGAAUUGGGGCAGAUACUAACCUUUGUUUAAGCUCCUGAAAGCUUUUCUCACACUUGUCGUCCCAGACAAACUUGGCCCGCUUCUUAGUUAAACGGGUCAAGGGUGUGGCUAUCUUGGAGAAUCCUUCUACAAAUCGUCGGUAAUACCCGGCUAAUCCCAAGAAGCUUCUGAUUUCCUUGACGUUGGUGGGCUGAGGCCAGUCCACCACUGCUUCUAUCUUUUUGGGGUCCACCGACACUCCAUCCUUGGAGAUCACAUGACCGAGAAAUGCUACAUUAUCCAACCAGAAUUCACAUUUACUCAGUUUGGCAUAUAACCUUUUCUCUCGAAGAGUCUGUAGUACCAUUCUCAGAUGAUCUUCGUGUUCCUUCCUGUUCCUUGAGUAUAUCAGAAUGUCAUCGAUGAAAACUAUCACGAACUGAUCCAAGUACUGCCUAAAGACUCUGUUCAUUAAGUCCAUAAAUGCAGCCGGAGCAUUGGUCAGUCCAAAAGGUAUAACCAGAAAUUCAUAAUGCCCAUACCUGAUUCGAAAUGCAGUCUUUGGCACAUCAUCAGCUUUGAUCUUCAACUGAUGGAAAUCGGACCACAAAUCAAUCUUGGAGAAGACUUGGGCACCCUAUAGCUGAUCAAACAGGUCAUCGAUCCGGGGCAGGGGAUAUUUAUUCUUUAAUGUUAUCUUGUUCAAUUCCUAGUAAUCGAUGAACAGCCGCAUACUCCCGUCUUUCUUUUUCACAAACAAGACAGGCGCUCCCCAUGGCGAUGCACUGGGCUGGAUAAACUUUUUGUCCAGAAGUUCCUAUAGUUGUAUCUUUAAUUUUCUUAACUCAGCAGGAGCCAUCCGAUAAAGAGCCUUGGAGAUUGGUCCCUCUCCUGGUGCAAGAUUGAUAGUGAAUUCGACCUCUCGGUCUGGGGGUAAUCCUGGUAAUUCAUCCGGAAAAACAUCCGGGUAUUUCCUGACCACUGGAAUGUAUUCCAGUUUGAUCUCUUUCUGGGUAUCCAUUACACUGGCCAGAUAGGCCAUACACCCUUUUCUCAAAGCCUUUUCAGCUUUCAAAGCGGAAAUGAAGUGCAGUGUAGGAGUACCUUGAAGGGGUGUGUCACCCUGAAAGAAAAAUUCUUGCUCCCCAGGUGUCCGAAAUACCACCCUUUUAUGAUAACAAUCAAUAUGUGUGUGGUAUUGAGACAUCCAAUCCAUGCCUAAAAUAAUAUCGAAGUCUUGCAUGUCAAGCUGUAGAAGAUUUGUCUCUAAUUCUUUUUUCCCUAUCUGAAUUAUGUAGCCUUUGUGUUUAGUGUCAACAAUUAUAGUCUUUUGAAGGGGCGUAGAAACAUGCCAUGGUUCUACUAAUUUCUCAGAUAUGCUAUGUAGUUGUAUGGAAAAGCUAAAUGAUACGAACGAAUGCGUAGAACCAGAAUCAAAUAGAAUGAGGGCAGGGGCCGAGUUGACUGAAAGCUUACCUGUCACCACCUGAUCGCUAGCACUGGCAUCCUGACGAGUCAGUGGGAAAACUCAAGGGUUACCCCUCGAUCUCUAGUCCUCCAGUGCAGUAUGUCUGGGCUUAUCCCUCUUCCGACUCGGGCAGUCGCGGGCGAUGUGUCCUGUCUGCCCGCAGGAAAAACAAGCCCGGGUCUUCCUCAAGCAGGUACCGCCGUGGUUUUUGCCACAGGUGGGGCAGCUUCUGCUCUGUUUCUUCUUGGGCAUAGACCCCUUGCUGCCUCCGGACCCACUACUCUGUGCUCCCGACGAUCGAGUCCUCUUCAGGUCCUCCCUCUCUCUUCCGGACCGUAUCAGGUCAGCCUCAACCUUCAAGGCUCGGUCCAGCACAUCCCGGUAGCUUGAGAAUAGGUGGGAGGAUAUUCGGGAUCGAAUCUCGUACCUCAAUCCCUGCUCAAACCGGUUUACCUUACUUUUCUCCUCCUCCAUGAACUGGGGGCAAAAUUGUCCCAGCUCGUUGAAUUUAUUGGCGUACUCCAGAAUGGACAUCUGGUCGGUCUGGGUCAGUGCCAAGAAUUCGUUCUGCUUCGCCUGGUUGACUGAGUCCGGAAAGUACUGGGUGUUAAACAACCUCUUGAAGUCCCUCCAGGUGAGUCCAUCGAUGGCAUAGGCCGUCUCCAUGGCCGUCCACCAGUACUCGGCGUUCCCUUUCAGCAUAGAGAUCGCCAGCCGGACCAUCACCUCAUCGGAAAAAUGGAGAGUUUGGAACAUCUUCUCUAUCUCCCGGAUCCACGCUUCUGCCGCCAUGGGGUCGGGCCCACCCUCAAAGGUCGGGGGGUUCAGUCGGCGGAACCUCUCAUAGCAGGAGUCUGCCGAUGGUAUAGCAGCCAUCUGCAUCAUCUGCUGCUGUUGUAGCAGUUGUGCGAUGAGCUGAUAUACCCCGGCAAGGUCUGCCUGACCUGCUACAGACCGUGGAGUAUUCUGGGGGACUGACUGUUCACUAGGCUCCGAGGAGGGUGGUCUCCUGUCGUCGUCCAUGUCCUUCGGGUGAUCGCCUAGUAGUCAAAACUUUAAAGUAAGAUUACGAUAGGCUAGCAUAUUAUGAUAUUUUUCAAGAGCGGUGAAAUUCUUAACUACCCAUUGCCCUAGGUAUUUUAUGGUUAUUCUAUUGUUUAACCUAAGGCUCUGAUACCACGAGAAUGUCACGCCCCGGAUCCGGAUCCGUGACACGGCCGUGCCAUUGCUGACUAUCGCCCACAAUAGCACGCAGCCUCAUACAGGGGUAGCAGGUAGCCAAUAGAUUUUAAACUUUCAUAUAUUAAAAUAUUUGCAGUACAACCUUGAAGGCUAAUACAAAAAUACAUAACUUCUAUACUGUUCAAAUGUACAAAAGUAUAUAGGCUUCUCCAAAAAUAACGAAGCUCCAUAACAAAAGAAAAAUAUAUCUGAUGGCGAUCACUGGUGAGGAUCUGGAAGAAAAUGGAAAACAAACAGGCAUGAGCUACACGGCUCAGUAAGUAAUCCUGCAUAAUCCUAUCGAAUCAACUAAUAGGCUAAACAUGUUUAUUAGGGUUUGAGAAGCUGACAUGCAUAUUAUUUAACAAUUCAUCAUGGCAUAAUAUGUAUGCGAGGUAAACAGAGCAGUAUUUAAGUCAAACAGGCAUUUGCAUAAAGUAUACAUAUGAAAUCAUGCCCCGGCAUGCCGUGGUCUGUUCUCUCGGAUGCUACUGCGAAGUCAGUCUCGGCCACUAGCGGGGCUAGCUUAGUCAUUCUCGGCCACUAGCAAGGCCAGCUUAGUCAUUCUCAGCCACUAGCAAGGCCAGCUCAGUUGCAUUCGAUCAGUAGCAUUUUUGAGCCCAUUAUAGUGCCUCUUGGCUAGAUAGGAUUUCGCUAUACUAACUUACAUGCAUGAUUGAAAUAUCAGCAUAAUCAUGGUGCAUACAUGGCCAUAGUUUAUGAGAUUAGGCAAGUUACUUAUCCAUCAUAACAUAUCAUGCACGAAUUAUAUAUACUUAAAAAAAUGCUUAGGAGAUGCUGGUAAACAUGGCAUGAUUCAUAACAGGAUUAGAACAGGUUACUUACAAUAAGUUGUUAUCAAUUUCUAGAGUCCGGACGACGAGUCUUUGAUUCCUAAAACCAUAUUAUAAGACUCACAUUAUCCUCUAUUUGCCAUAAAUUUUAGUUCAAUUGAAGUAAAUUUGAGUCUACAAGACUUAAUUGGGCCUCUAAUGAAAGGGUUGGGCCUGAUUUGUGGUUGGGUCCACUCUUUCCUAGCCAAUUUGGCCUUCUGCCAAUUUAAUUGGGCCUGGUCUGGACCUGAUUUAGGGCUAAUUGGGCCUGCUGGGGUCAACAUGUUUUGAACAUGGUUCAGACCCAGCUGAAUUGAGUUUAAUUGGGUUUGGGUUUAGCCCAAUUUGCUUAAUUUGGGUUCAUUCAGGCUUGGUCAGGUUCGGACCCAACACUAUUUAGACUUAAUUUGACCCAUUUAAUUCAAUUGGGCUUGGAUCAACCCCUUAAUUGGAUUUACCCAAACCAAUUCAGGCUAUUUGGGCCUAACGAGUUUCGGACCCGAACUUGGAUCCGACCCGUUAGGCAGACCCGUUAAGGGUCUUUCUAGGAGGUUCCAGAGGCUUCGGCCUCUUUUGUUCGCCCCUCUCUCUUCUCCGGUCUCUCCGCCUCCCUCGUUCCUUCUUUGCCUCCGCCGGAACCCUUCCCCGGCCUCCCUCACCUCCGGUCAAGGCAGUGGUCUCCCUUCAGGGCGGCGGUGGUGGAAGGCCGGCCCUUUCCCCUUCUCCGAGGUGAUGCCGGAGGAGAGGAGAGGAGCCGGGAGGUGGGAUCGAGGCCGGAUCUCCUCCGGGAGGUCCUCUCCGGCUCCGACCACGGCGAGGUACGGUCGUGGUCCGAGGUAGGUAUUUUAUUUUAUGUAAUUUUUUUUUUUUGUCCUUCUUCUUCUUCUGUUUCGUUCUUCUCCCUUUUUCCCCCUUUUCUUUGUGGAAGUCGCGCCACCACCUUCUCGCCGGCGGAGAGGUGGGGUUCGGCUAAGGCUGGCGGCCUUGAGGCCGCGUCUGUCGCCGGCAUGGCCAGACCCGGUGGCCCUUGGCUGCCCCUCAGCCCUAGGGUAGCCAUGGCCGGGUUCUCUCACCCGCAGGCCGAGUCCGAUUGGGCUCGGCCCGGGUGGACGUGGACCUGGGCUUGGCCGUCCUUGGGCCGGCCCGUGGCCUGUGGGUUCGGCCCGCAGUCCGUGGGUCCGGCCCGCCGCCCGUGGGUCCUCCUCCUGUCUCCCUCUAGUGCCGGUCCUUUUCUUCUUGCGCCGAUCUCCCUCCCUGUGCCGGUCUCCUCUCCUCUGUUUCAUGGAUGAAACAGAGAGGAGAACACCCCACAGAGGGUUUCUCUCCCCCAUUUUCCUACCUAAAACCCUACUUACAGGGCCCUUACCUUGAUUCGGUUGACUGGAGUUGGGCAGUACCUCCUUCUCGGCAAGUUCCCUCCUUCCUCUCCUAGGGGUACAAGGUCCCUUCUGCCUCCAGCUCCAAGGCUUGGCUCUCUGGUGCAGUAGAUCCAGAGGGUUAGUGGGUUAGGGAGGGUAUAUCAAAUUCGGGGUUAGCAAAUCUUAGGGGUUUUAAAUAACAGGCUUAGGACUUGACCCCAAAGGAGAGGUGGCGUUCUCUCCUUCCUCACUACUCCGGGAGCCACCAGCUGUCCCUCCUCCUCAGGCCAGCUCCAAGCUCAGUUGCCGAGGGGGAGGAGGUGGCGGGCUCCCGUUUUGCAUGUCUGUGGGGGUCUCUCCGUUGGCCAUCUGGUGGUCCUGUCCUUUCAGCCCUCAGGGGAAGACAGCAGUCUGCCCUUCCUGGGCUAGUGUGGCCUGCUAACCCCCCUGGCCCAAUACCCUUCAACUGGGCCCUACAGUAUUGGGCCUGGUCUGUAUUGGGCCCGGACAUUACAGGAUUCAGGUAUAGGUAAUGAUUCAAAUUUAGUAGCCCAUCUGCUAGUAUCCAUUACAGGAAUGGAAUCUAACAAUGCAUUAACCUCCUGAUUCGGCUCUCCUUCCUCAUAAUCUUGACUGAAUUGAGCCAAACAUCUUUCUAGUGGAUCAGAAUAAGUUGAUUCCUCGAAGGACUUGCAGAUUAUAUUCUCAAUCAUGUGAAUUUCUUCUAAAUCGUCCAUCUCAGAUGGGUGAUUACUACUGUGAAAGACAUUGAGUUGGACGGUCAAGUUUCCAAAUGCUAAGGUCAUUAUCCCAUUUCGGCAACUGAUCACAGCAUUUGAAGUGGCCAAAAAUGGUCUGCCAAGGAUUACCGGGAUGUGACUACCUGAAUUUUUCACUGAUUCAGUUUCGAGGACUACAAAAUCCACAGGGUAGUAAAACUCAUUUACCUUUACAAUUACAUCCUCUAUAAUUUUCUUAGGAUACUUCACAGUCCUAUCUGCUAAUGACAAAGUAAUGUUUGUGGGCUUUAAUUCCCCCAAACCUAGUUCGUUGUAGACAGAAUAGGGUAACAGGUUUACACUUGCUCCUAAGUCUAAUAGGGCUCUCUGGAUGAUCGUUUCUCCUAUUUUUAUUUCAAUAGUAGGGCAACCAGGAUCUUUGUAUUUUGGGGCAAUCUGUUGUUGAAUGAGAGAUGAAGCCUGUGCAGCCAUAACAGCUUACCUAGGAAUGCUGGUUUUUCUUUUAACCGUGGUGAGGUCUUUCAAGAAUUUUGUAUAGGAGGGAAUUUGUCGUAUGGCAUCGAGGAAAGGUAUAUUUAUUUGAACAUUUUUAAAGACUUCCAUUAUUUCAUCAAAGUUAGAUUGUUUCUUGGAGUCCUGAAGUCUACUGGGAAAGGGAACCUUAGGUUUGUAUGUUUCUAUGGGUUCUUCCUUUUUUUUGGUUUGUCCUGUUCUUGACCCCUCUUUUGAAUAGGGUUCUUAUUGGGUUCAUGUUUAUUUUCUUUUACAUGUUCAGAAAGUUGGACUUUAUUGUCCACUUGCUUGCCAGACUUUCAGGUGGUAAUUGCCUGGACUUCAUGGGUCGAAUUUUCAUUAGAAUCGAUUUGAUACUGACCUCUCUGACCUUGUUGUCUACUAGGGUUAGGCACUGGUUGACUAGGUAGUUCACCUUUCUUCCUAUCCCCUAGAGAGUUUGCUAUUUAGCUUAGACUGACUUCAAGUUUUGCAAUUGCUUGCGCAUGAAAUUGGUUAGUCUGGGUUUGGGUCAUGUUGGUUUGUUGUUGCUGUUGGAUAAAAUCUUGUUGUUGUUUCAUCAUAUUAGCCAUCAUAGUUUCUAAUGGUGAAGAUUGUUGUGGGAUGGGGGUAUUGUACGGAGGUAAAGAUGGAACCAAAGGUUGGUUCAUUUGUGAUAGACCUAUCCUGAAAAAAUUCCUCUGAAAACCUGGUGGACCACCUUGAUGAUGAAUAGAUUUAUUUUGCUUGUAUGAGAAAUUUGGGUGGAACCUAUUAUCAGGGUGGUAGACUGGGCUGAAUGAAUUGGGAGUGGGCUUCUUGAAGGCACUAUAUGAAUUUAGAGCAUUUGCUUGCUCAGCCUUUAUGGUGGCCAGAUUAGGGCAGCACUCCACUAGAUGUUUCGGACUGUUACACAAAACAAAUAAACUAUGUGACUCGUGAUCCACUUUCAUGAUGGGAUUUAACUCUUUAUAUGAACUCGAGCUAGUGGAAACAGUGAAAGCAUCAAACUUUUUACUUAAGUUGUUCAUUCUAGUCACCAGAUUGGACAUGACAUUUUUUAGGUCUGGGUCUGCUUUCAUUUCAUAAUUAUCUGGUUUUCUAGAUCCGAACUCAUCUCUAUUUACUUCCUCACCAUAGCUACUCUAAUUUUGGGCAUUCUCGGCUAAGUUAACAAGAAAUUCAUAGGCUUGAUCCGGGGUUUGGUUCAUGAACCUACCCUUGUGCAUUGGCUCAAUCAUGUUUCUAUGUGCCGGAAGUAGUCNNNNNNNNNNNNNNNNNNNNUGCUUUCAUUUCAUAAUUAUCUGGUUUUCUAGAUCCGAACUCAUCUCUAUUUACUUCCUCACCAUAGCUACUCUAAUUUUGGGCAUUCUCGGCUAAGUUAACAAGAAAUUCAUAGGCUUGAUCCGGGGUUUGGUUCAUGAACCUACCCUUGUGCAUUGGCUCAAUCAUGUUUCUAUGUGCCGGAAGUAGUCCUUUAUAAAAGAAGUGGACCAGAUCAGCCUUAUCAAGCCCAUGGUGUGGGCAUUUGACCAACAAGUCAUGGAAUCGUUCCCAAAUUUGGAAGAAUUCCUCUUCAGAUUUUUCUCUGAAAGUUCUUAUGGCAUCCUUAAUUUUUUCUGUUUUAAUCAUGGGGUAAAAUUUUGCCAUGAACUUCCUAGAUAGUUGUUCCCAUGUUGUGAUGGAAUUUGGGGGCAGAGAAUAUAGCCAUGCCGCGGCUCGAUCCUCUAAGGUCAUUGGGAACAAUCUCAAUUUUACACUUUCUUCAUCUAAAUUUUGAUUUUUGAAAGUUUGACAAAUUGUCAUGAAUUUAUUUAGAUGAAUGUAGGGGUGUUCACUUUCAAACCCAUAGAAUUUGGAUAGCAUAUUUAUUGUCGCAGCCCGAAUUUUAAAUUGGGCUGCAUUAUUUAUUGGCAACACUAUACAUGUAGGUGGACUAGCGGAUGCAGGAGCGAAUAAUUCAUUCAGGGUUCUAAUAUGAUCACCCAUUGUAGAGAUUGGUGGUUCAUCAAUAAUUCGUCGGAUGUAACGAUAAUUUUUUCCAACCUUUAGGUUAAAUGGUGUUAAAUUACCCCUUAAUGAUCUUCUACCAUGCAUACAUUAUCUACAACUUAAUUAGGCUCGACUCUUAAACGAAAUCCUAAAAGAGAAGAAGAAGGGCUAGACCAAAAUGACCACAAUCAACACCACACAACGGAUUGGCUCUGUAAUCUUGAGAUUAAAGAAGGUUUAGUAGCUUUUAAUCUAGUUGCACAGAGAUUAAUCAAGUUAAAAAGUUUCUGAAAUUCUCUCCUAGAUUAGACAGCUCCUAAUCUCCUUUUCAGAUUAAGCUUGAGCUUACCAGUUAAGCGAUCCAGUAACCAGUGACCAGGAAAGUCCCGGGGUGUGUGGUAGUGCUAGAAGGGAUACACCGAUACCACAAUACCCGUAACAGUUUUCACUGUUGUAAAACUUUUAUAGACAUCACCAAUUACUAAAUUAUCACUGGUGGGGCUUUCAGCCGCUUCUUUCCAAGAGCCUAAUUGAGCUCGAAAAUCCUAAGGCCAACGUCUAAUUGAUUUUAAUUUAAUUUGGCUUAGGAUAUGUAUGCAAGGUGGUGAUUUUUGGGCUAAAGAUAGGUAAUGACUUUCUGACCUUAUCUUUUUAAUGGGUUUUGCCCUUAAAUUCUUUUAUGCAAAUGCUUAAUACUAAAUGCAGCAAAUAUUCAAUAAUUUUUUAAAGUUUAUGAAAUGUCAUUAGGUUGUACUAAUUAAAUGAGCAAGUAAAAAAAAAAUUUAUUUAAAUUUUUAUAUAGGAAUAACUUGAAUGUAAACUAAAAACUAAUCCUUAUGCGUCAGUCAAUUAUUAAUAGAGGUAUGAUAACCUCGGAGGAUUGCACCCUAUCAAUUAUUAGCAAAAAUAAUAAUUUUUUUUAAUAUUUUAACUUAAUUAUUUUUUUAACCCUUUUUUUUAAAAAUUCAAAUUUCGAAUUUCAGAAUUCAAAUUUUGAAUUUAAAUUUUUAAAUUUUAGAAUUUUUUCAAUUUUUUCAAUUUUUAAUUAUCUUUUUUUUUGAAUUUUUAAUUUUUUUUCACUUUUUUUUAAAAACUUUAAAUUUCGAUUUUCAAAUUUCAGAAUUUAAUAACUAUGAAAUUAUUAACUAAAAAUAAUCAAAACAAUGGAAAUUAAUAAAAAUAAAAAAAAACUUACUACCGGAGUGCGUUCACUCCGGACAUCCAAAAUUCGAUUUGAUCUUUGUGAUCGUUCUUGCUUCUCGAUUUGCCUCCCCGGCAACGAUGCCAAAAUUUUGUUGUUCGAUUGCUGUUUACCAAAAAUAUGCUAAACAGAUUGUUGUUAGAACCGACAAACAAAGUUUAAAUUAAUUUUACUCUUAUCUGUUCUACUCGAAGAAUAGUAUCGUAAGAGGUCGAUCCACAGGGAGGCGAUUGGAGUUGCAUAAAGAUUAAAACGAUCACUCGGAUUCAAAGCCGAUUCUUGAAUGAUAAAACAAAAACAUUACUUCGGGGAUGUUGAAUGAUUCUCUAGUCUACCAGAGAAUGUUUUCUAUUUAAAAUUAACUAAAAGAUAGGUACUUAGAUUUGAAAAGCAUUUAUAUAUUUAACUAAUCAAAGAAGAGCUUUGGCAUAGAAAAUGGAUGGAAGCUAAGAAGAUUGAAGCCUGGAACAUAAAUUGCAUAAAAGAAAAUUUCAUAUAUUGCAUGAAAGAAAAAUUAAAAGAUUGUAUAAAAAAAUAGAAAUUAAACUGAACCUAGAAUAAGGAUUGCAUGAAAGAGAAAUGAUAGAUUUUAUAAAAAUAAAUUGAUUACAAAGGUAGAAAUAAAGAUUAGUAGCCUGAUGCUGCCUUUCUUCUGCAAAUAAAAUAAAGAAAAGAAAUAACAAAAAUCAAAAAGAAAACUUCUCCUGUGGCAUGCUCGGUGGCUAUUUUUUUUAAUUUUCUCUUUCUUUCAAAACAGAGCAAUGCUCUAUUUCUUCUUUUUUUCUUUCUUUCUUCUCUCCCAAACCGAACCCUCUUCUCCCCUAUUCUUUGGCCCCCAACCGAGCACCACCCUCUUCCCCCUCUCUCCCCUGCCGAUGGCCCCUCCCUUUAUAGAUCAACCCCCUGGAGUGAGGAUGCUUGGAAUCACGGAAGGGGCGGACUCGGAGGCUUGACUGCCACGUGAUCCAUGGAGCUCGGACGUGGAGGAGGCUGGAUCGUCCGGGAUUGAUGGCGUGAAUAGCUGGAUUGAUGGCUCCGGAAGCUUCGUGUAUGGCUGGGACUCGGAGGAUGGGAUUCGGAUGAAAGGGCGCUGCGGGAUCUUUGCUGGGAGGAGGCGAUCGUCCGGGAUCGCAUGCGGAAGAGGAAGGAUGCCAUGGAAAUCACUGGGGUGCUGGAAAUGGAAGGGUUGCAUACGCACAUGGGAGGAUUUGCUGCUGUGAACGCGGAGGAUGAAUGGGAGAUUGCUUCUUAUUUCCUUCUUUCGGCUACGAAAAGUUAGGAGCGCAGGGAUAGAUCACGGAAGGAAGAAGAGGCGGACGCUAGGGAGGUGGAUCCGGACGAUGGCCGUUGGGAUUCCGGGAGAUUGAUAUGCGGACGGAAGAAGAUGAGAUGGGUUUCCUUCUUUGGGUGCCGGAUUGGAAGCGGGAGCUUGGAUGCUAGGGAUCCGGAAGAGGCUUGCCGACGGAAGGAGCUGGAUUACCGGCUACUGGGAUGCGGAUGGGCUGGCACGCGGACGCGGUUGGGACGCUGGCAGCGAUGCGGAAUGACGGGCUGAUUGCUGAGAUGGGGGGAACGUGCCAUGCAUGGGUUAAGUUGGUGCCAUACCAGAAUCAAUGGCUGAUACGCUGAUGCGCGCGAUUGGGAGUUGGAAUCACAGUUGUGCUGAGACAACGGUGGGAUGGCAGCCGGCAGUGACUCGACUUCAUCAGGGUGAUGGCCGUGGGAAUUAAGAGAAGUCAGAUGCAGCUGGGACUCGGUUGAACCUGGACAUGGAGCGUGGGAUGCUUGCACAAAUAAAAUAUUAAUUAGUUAAUUUUAUUUUUAAUGAUUAGCUAAAAUACUAAUUAAAAUGGUCUGACGAUUGUACUUUUGUGCUCUCAUCACUAGGUGCUGCCAUUUGAUUGGCCUUAUUCUUCUUCCUACAUAAGUCUCCUCUUAUGGUCGGCAUUGAUUUUGUAUGGAGGUACAGUCAUCGGGAUAAGAAGGUGUUGAGCAAGAAACUUUUAGUCUCUAAAUCAAGGUAAAACUCUAAUAUCUUAUUUAUACAUAGUCUCAAAUUAAGUAAGAUUAGGAAAUUAGGGCUAAUAUUAAUUUGGAUAUUAGAUUUAAAAUUAGGAACCUAGAAAUAAUUUAUUUAUUUCUUAUUCUGAUGGUUUAUCGAGGAUGAACUAGAUUUAUAUUGAUUAAUUGAAUGUGAUAAGUGUCGACCGGUAAAUAUUGUACUUGAGUUUAUUGCUAAUAAAGGUAGGUAGCCUAAUACUUCAUAGUAUUUUCUAUUCACAAUUUAUUAAAAAAAAUGAUCUUGGGAAAACUACAAUUAGUAUAUUAAAUUUGUUUCAUGAUCUCUGGUUUUUGUUUGAUAAAACGAGGCAAACAUAUUUUUAUGACUGUCCUAAUUAUUUUAUUUUUUUGGAAAUAAAACAAGGGUAUAGCGUGUAUUUUGAUAUUCUUGUAAAUAAGUUAUGAUCUCUACUUUCUCAGCAUGGCUAUGAUCUGGCCCUGCCUAUAAGGAUUGUAUAUUGGCCUUGUCAAUUUAUAAUCUAAAAAACUAGUUUCAAUACCAAGCCACUAGUGAUUAGAAUAGUAGUAUCUAUUAUCUGAUAUCUAGCACCUAGUGCAUCCAAUAUUUGUUGCAUCUAUUAUUUGACUCAUGCUAUUGAAUUACAUGGCUAUAGCUGAUAUUAGAUUUAGUAUCAAUUUAUAAAAAAUAUUUUUUUCAAAAAAUAUAUAUUAAAUCUUCGAGAUUUGGUGAAAAUAAAAUUUUUCUGCUCAGUUAAUAUCAUGUUUGGCAUGCUUAGACCCUAUUUUGGAGUGUUAAGUUAUUUACUAGGCUAUUUUAGCUCACUAUUUGUUUUUUCUAUUUUCAAAUACAGAAUCAUGAAUUACGCAAGGCUUGGUGAAGUGCACACAUAGAUUUGCUUUGGAGUUCCUAGUAGGUAUAGUUGUUUUUGGUUAUUUAUGUUUAGUUAGACUUCCUAUAUAUAUUAGCUUCAUGUUUGGUGAUUUAGAGAGUAUUAUUUAAUUUGGUUGGUAAUAAUGUGUUGAAGGAUUGACUCUUUAUUUUAAGUUAAUUGUUCGCUGAGGAUAUUCAUUAUCUUGUUUUUGGAGGAUUGAAUAAGCCUUGUUUUUAUAUUGAAUUUAUUGAGAUUUAAUUAAAUUUGUUAUUUAAGUAGCUUGCAUGGUUGUAAGAUCCACCAUGCAAGCAUGGGGAGCCUGUUACGCUCUUAGUUCGGGAGCGUGGCAUGCCAUCACUUGGACCAAAAUGUCAACACCUCCUUUCAUGGCACCAAGGUUUUGCAGAGUGAUAUAUGGCAGGUUGAAGACUCACCAUCUAUCCACAAGAGAAACCAGAGACCACUGGUCUUAUGAUCUUCUGUUAUAUUAAAUUAUGUUUAGUUGGAAGUCAGAAGUAUUAUCUUCUUAGGACUAUCAGACAAAUAUUUCAAAUUAGUUACGGCAAAGGCUCUUAUUCCAUCAUCUCUAAGGUCUUUUCAAGUACCCAAGUGGGAGAAGUAUGCCUUCAAUAAUGCUGUAUGAGCUGUAGGAAGCUUCCUAGUCUAAUAAACAACUGAUUAGUUUUAUAUUUGAGUAUGUAACUAGCGAUGUCAGAGGAAAGGGAGAAGAAAGAAUCAACAAGCAUAUCUUAGUUUCGUUCAAUGUUCCCAUUGACCAAUUGGUUGGAUAAUCACUACAAGAAAAUUGGGCAUUAGCGACGCUUUUUUUGGCCUUUAGCGACGCUUUUAAGCGUCGGUAAAAACCAUCCCGACGCUUUCCUAAGCGUCGGUAAAGCGUCGCCUAUGCUACAGUGGGGAAAAUAUUUUCCGACGUUUUCAAAAGCGUCGGAAAUUAGCGACGCUUUUUAGCGACGCUUUAAAGCGUCGUUAAAUGUGAUUUUAACGACGCUUUAAAGCGUCGUUAUAAUAUUAUUUUUUUAAAAUAAAAUUUCGUGAUUUUAACAACNNNNNNNNNNNNNNNNNNNNNNNNNNNNNNNNNNNNNNNNNNNNNNNNNNNNNNNNNUUUAAAAAUUUUUAAACUUUGUUUUCAAAAUCAAAAGUAUUGAGCAUCUAGAUGUUCAUAAGUAUAUCUUCCUCACUACAGAGAUGAAAGGUGACAUAAGAAAAGCCAUCAAAAUUGUUAAACUGUAUACAAAGAAUUGUUCACAGAGUUUGGUACCUCAAUUCAGGAUUAGGUAACUCUAAUGAUUCACAAAUUGCUGCACUAGCCCAACCUUUCUAAUUUAUUUAAGAGCUUCCCUGCAGUACCAUGAAGCUUGACACAGAGUGGCUGGACCAAUAGUUCAGAUCCAACAAUGGGAAAAGCAAAGAUAUAAAAGAGCUGGAGCAUCUAAAAAUUGUUUCUGUGAUUAAAAUCAAAUCUCACACACCAUUUAGUUAAAUGGUGUACAUUUCGCAUUCCCAUAGCUGUUUUUUGAAGUAUGGGGAGAUGAGGAUGUUAGAGUGGGCAUGCAAUGAGACUAGGAAGAAUGAAGUUGUCAAUAAGGUAAUNN